GAUGAACGCUGGCGGCGUGCCUAAUACAUGCAAGUCGAGCGAACGGACGAGAAGCUUGCUUCUCUGAUGUUAGCGGCGGACGGGUGAGUAACACGUGGAUAACCUACCUAUAAGACUGGGAUAACUUCGGGAAACCGGAGCUAAUACCGGAUAAUAUUUUGAACCGCAUGGUUCAAAAGUGAAAGACGGUCUUGCUGUCACUUAUAGAUGGAUCCGCGCUGCAUUAGCUAGUUGGUAAGGUAACGGCUUACCAAGGCAACGAUGCAUAGCCGACCUGAGAGGGUGGUCGGCCACACUGGAACUGAGACACGGUCCAGACUCCUACGGGAGGCAGCAGUAGGGAAUCUUCCGCAAUGGGCGAAAGCCUGACGGAGCAACGCCGCGUGAGUGAUGAAGGUCUUCGGAUCGUAAAACUCUGUUAUUAGGGAAGAACAUAUGUGUAAGUAACUGUGCACAUCUUGACGGUACCUAAUCAGAAAGCCACGGCUAACUACGUGCCAGCAGCCGCGGUAAUACGUAGGUGGCAAGCGUUAUCCGGAAUUAUUGGGCGUAAAGCGCGCGUAGGCGGUUUUUUAAGUCUGAUGUGAAAGCCCACGGCUCAACCGUGGAGGGUCAUUGGAAACUGGAAAACUUGAGUGCAGAAGAGGAAAGUGGAAUUCCAUGUGUAGCGGUGAAAUGCGCAGAGAUAUGGAGGAACACCAGUGGCGAAGGCGACUUUCUGGUCUGUAACUGACGCUGAUGUGCGAAAGCGUGGGGAUCAAACAGGAUUAGAUACCCUGGUAGUCCACGCCGUAAACGAUGAGUGCUAAGUGUUAGGGGGUUUCCGCCCCUUAGUGCUGCAGCUAACGCAUUAAGCACUCCGCCUGGGGAGUACGACCGCAAGGUUGAAACUCAAAGGAAUUGACGGGGACCCGCACAAGCGGUGGAGCAUGUGGUUUAGUUCGAAGCAACGCGAAGAACCUUACCAAAUCUUGACAUCCUUUGACAACUCUAGAGAUAGAGCCUUCCCCUUCGGGGGACAAAGUGACAGGUGGUGCAUGGUUGUCGUCAGCUCGUGUCGUGAGAUGUUGGGUUAAGUCCCGCAACGAGCGCAACCCUUAAGCUUAGUUGCCAUCAUUAAGUUGGGCACUCUAAGUUGACUGCCGGUGACAAACCGGAGGAAGGUGGGGAUGACGUCAAAUCAUCAUGCCCCUUAUGAUUUGGGCUACACACGUGCUACAAUGGACAAUACAAAGGGCAGCGAAACCGCGAGGUCAAGCAAAUCCCAUAAAGUUGUUCUCAGUUCGGAUUGUAGUCUGCAACUCGACUACAUGAAGCUGGAAUCGCUAGUAAUCGUAGAUCAGCAUGCUACGGUGAAUACGUUCCCGGGUCU
rnacentral:rRNA from 1 species